rnacentral:rRNA from 1 species
AACGAACAUUGGCGGUAGGCUUAACACAUGCAAGUCGAGCGAGGCUUAGAGCCGAGCGGCGAACGGGUGAGUAAUACUUGGGAAUCUGCCCUGAAGUGGGGGAUAACGUCCAGAAAUGGACGCUAAUACCGCAUAAUCCAUAUCGGGAACGCGCGCUGCGCUUUAGGAUGAGCCCAAGCCUGAUUAGCUAGUUGGUGGGGUAAAGGCCCACCAAGGCGACGAUCAGUAGCUGGUCUGAGAGGAUGAUCAGCCACACUGGAACUGAGACACGGUCCAGACUCCUACGGGAGGCAGCAGUGGGGAAUCUUGCGCAAUGGGGGGCAACCCUGACGCAGCCAUACCGCGUGUGUGAUGAAGGUCUUCGGAUUGUAAAGCACUUUCAGUGGGGACGACAAUGACGGUACCCUCGGAGGAAGCACCGGCUAACUCUGUGCCAGCAGCCGCGGUAAU